rnacentral:rRNA from 1 species
CAGUCGCCGCGGUAAUACAGAGGGUGCGAGCGUUAAUCGGAUUUACUGGGCGUAAAGCGUGCGUAGGCGGCUUCUUAAGUCGGAUGUGAAAUCCCUGAGCUUAACUUAGGAAUUGCAUUCGAUACUGGGAAGCUAGAGUAUGGGAGAGGAUGGUAGAAUUCCAGGUGUAGCGGUGAAAUGCGUAGAGAUCUGGAGGAAUACCGAUGGCGAAGGCAGCCAUCUGGCCUAAUACUGACGCUGAGGUACGAAAGCAUGGGGAGCAAACAGGAUUAGAUACCCCAGUAGUCCCUGUCCCUUAUAA